GGGUAGGGGAGCGUUCUGUAAGCCUGCGAAGGUGUGCUGUGAGGCAUGCUGGAGGUAUCAGAAGUGCGAAUGCUGACAUAAGUAACGAUAAAGCGGGUGAAAAGCCCGCUCGCCGGAAGACCAAGGGUUCCUGUCCAACGUUAAUCAGGGCAGGGUGAGUCGACCCCUAAGGCGAGGCCGAAAGGCGUAGUCGAUGGGAAACAGGUUAAUAUUCCUGUACUUGGUGUUACUGCGAAGGGGGGACGGAGAAGGCUAUGUUGGCCGGGCGACGGUUGUCCCGGUUUAAGCGUGUAGGCUGGUUUUCCAGGCAAAUCCGGAAAAUCAAGGCUGAGGCGUGAUGACGAGGCACUACGGUGCUGAAGCAACAAAUGCCCUGCUUCCAGGAAAAGCCUCUAAGCAUCAGGUAACAUCAAAUCGUACCCCAAACCGACACAGGUGGUCAGGUAGAGAAUACCAAGGCGCUUGAGAGAACUCGGGUGAAGGAACUAGGCAAAAUGGUGCCGUAACUUCGGGAGAAGGCACGCUGAUAUGUAGGUGAAGUCCCUUGCGGAUGGAGCUGAAAUCAGUCGAAGAUACCAGCUGGCUGCAACUGUUUAUUAAAAACACAGCACUGUGCAAACACGAAAGUGGACGUAUACGGUGUGACGCCUGCCCGGUGCCGGAAGGUUAAUUGAUGGGGUCAGCGCAAGCGAAGCUCUUGAUCGAAGCCCCGGUAAACGGCGGCCGUAACUAUAACGGUCCUAAGGUAGCGAAAUUCCUUGUCGGGUAAGUUCCGACCUGCACGAAUGGCGUAAUGAUGGCCAGGCUGUCUCCACCCGAGACUCAGUGAAAUUGAACUCGCUGUGAAGAUGCAGUGUACCCGCGGCAAGACGGAAAGACCCCGUGAACCUUUACUAUAGCUUGACACUGAACAUUGAGCCUUGAUGUGUAGGAUAGGUGGGAGGCUUUGAAGUGUGGACGCCAGUCUGCAUGGAGCCGGCCUUGAAAUACCACCCUUUAAUGUUUGAUGUUCUAACGUGGACCCGUGAUCCGGGUUGCGGACAGUGUCUGGUGGGUAGUUUGACUGGGGCGGUCUCCUCCUAAAGAGUAACGGAGGAGCACGAAGGUUGGCUAAUCCUGGUCGGACAUCAGGAGGUUAGUGCAAUGGCAUAAGCCAGCUUGACUGCGAGCGUGACGGCGCGAGCAGGUGCGAAAGCAGGUCAUAGUGAUCCGGUGGUUCUGAAUGGAAGGGCCAUCGCUCAACGGAUAAAAGGUACUCCGGGGAUAACAGGCUGAUACCGCCCAAGAGUUCAUAUCGACGGCGGUGUUUGGCACCUCGAUGUCGGCUCAUCACAUCCUGGGGCUGAAGUAGGUCCCAAGGGUAUGGCUGUUCGCCAUUUAAAGUGGUACGCGAGCUGGGUUUAGAACGUCGUGAGACAGUUCGGUCCCUAUCUGCCGUGGGCGCUGGAGAACUGAGGGGGGCUGCUCCUAGUACGAGAGGACCGGAGUGGACGCAUCACUGGUGUUCGGGUUGUCAUGCCAAUGGCACUGCCCGGUAGCUAAAUGCGGAAGAGAUAAGUGCUGAAAGCAUCUAAGCACGAAACUUGCCCCGAGAUGAGUUCUCCCUGACCCUUUAAGGGUCCUGAAGGAACGUUGAAGACGACGACGUUGAUAGGCCGGGUGUGUAAGCGCAGCGAUGCGUUGAGCUAACCGGUACUAAUGAACCGUGAGGCUUAACCUUACAACGCCGAAG
rnacentral:rRNA from 1 species